ensembl:miRNA
GGCCAUAGGACUUGGUUUUGCCAGUGUGCCAAUGCCUAUCAAAUAUCUACCUGUCAUGUUUGUCAUAGGACAGGUAGAUAUUUGAUAGGCAUUGGCACGUUGGGGUUGGCC